CCGGUUGAUCCUGCCGGCGGUCACCGCUAUUGGAAUUUGAUUAAGCCAUGCGAGUCGAGAGGGUUCGGCCCUCGGCGGACUGCUCAGUAACACGUGGAUAACCCACCCUAGGAUGGGGGAUAACCUCGGGAAACUGAGAAUAAUACCCCAUAGGCAUAGGUUGCUGGAAUGCUCCUAUGCUAAAAGCUCCGGCGUCCUAGGAUGGGUCUGCGGCCUAUCAGGUUGUAGUGAGUGUAAAGGACUCACUAGCCGACGACGGGUACGGGCCAUGAGAGUGGUAGCCCGGAGAUGGAUUCUGAGACACGAAUCCAGGCCCUACGGGGCGCAGCAGGCGCGAAAACUUCGCAAUGCGCGAAAGCGCGACGAGGAAAUUCCAAGUGCAUGCACUAAGUGUAUGCUGUUUAUUAGUAUAAAACGCUAGUAGAGUAAGGGCUGGGUAAGACUGGUGCCAGCCGCCGCGGUAAUACCAGCGGCCCUAGUGGUGAUCGUUAUUAUUGGGCCUAAAGCGUCCGUAGCCGGCCCGGUAAAUCUCUGGGUAAAUCGAUGGGCUUAACUUAUCGAAUUCUGGGGAGACUGCUGGGCUUGGGACCGGGAGAGGUUGGAGGUACUCCAGGGGUAGAGGUGAAAUUCUGUAAUCCCUGUGGGACCACCGGUGGCGAAAGCGUCCAACCAGAACGGGUCCGACGGUAAGGGACGAAGCCCU
rnacentral:rRNA from 1 species